rnacentral:rRNA from 1 species
GACGAACGCUGGCGGCGUGCUUAACACAUGCAAGUCGAACGGAAAGGCCUCUUUCGGGGGGUACUCGAGUGGCGAACGGGUGAGUAACACGUGAGUAACCUGCCCUUGACUUUGGGAUAACUUCAGGAAACUGGGGCUAAUACCGGAUAGGAGCUCCUGCUGCAUGGUGGGGGUUGGAAAGUUUCGGCGGUUGGGGAUGGACUCGCGGCUUAUCAGCUUGUUGGUGGGGUAGUGGCUUACCAAGGCUUUGACGGGUAGCCGGCCUGAGAGGGUGGCCGGCCACAUUGGGACUGAGAUACGGCCCAGACUCCUACGGGAGGCAGCAGGGGGGAAUAUUGCACAAUGGGUGGAAGCCUGAUGCAGCAACGCCGUGUGCGGGAUGACGGCCUUCGGGUUGUAAACCGCUUUCGCUCAUGACGAAGCUUUGUGUGACGGUAGUGGGUAAAGAAGCACCGGCUAACUACGUG